rnacentral:rRNA from 1 species
AUUGAACGCUGGCGGCAUGCCUUACACAUGCAAGUCGAACGGCAGCACGGGAGCAAUCCUGGUGGCGAGUGGCGAACGGGUGAGUAAUGUAUCGGAACGUACCUUUCAGUGGGGGAUAACGUAGCGAAAGUUACGCUAAUACCGCAUAUUCUGUGGGCAGGAAAGCAGGGGAUCGCAAGACCUUGCGCUGAUUGAGCGGCCGAUAUCAGAUUAGCUAGUUGGUGAGGUAAAGGCUCACCAAGGCGACGAUCUGUAGCGGGUCUGAGAGGAUGUUCCGCCACACUGGAACUGAGACACGGUCCAGACUCCUACGGGAGGCAGCAGUGGGGAAUUUUGGACAAUGGGCGCAAGCCUGAUCCAGCCAUGCCGCGUGAGUGAAGAAGGCCUUCGGGUUGUAAAGCUCUUUCGGCCGGGAAGAAAUCGUGUGGGUUAAUACCCUGCAUGGAUGACGGUACCGGAAUAAGAAGCACCGGCUAACUACGUGCCAGCAGCCGCGGUAAGAC